GAGCACGUAGGUGGGUUUGUCAGUCAGUUGUGAAAUCCUCCGGCUCAACCGGGGAACUGCUUCUGAUACUGCGGGGCUAGAGUGCGGGAGGGGAGAGUGGAACUCCUGGUGGAGCGGUGAAAUGCGUAGAUAUCAGGAGGAACGCCGGUGGCGAAAGCGACUCUCUGGACCGUUACUGACGCUGAGGUGCGAAGGCUAGGGUAGCAAACAGGAUUAGAUACCCUGGUAGUCCUAGCCGUAAACGAUGGGCACUAAGUAGAGGGGUUUU
rnacentral:rRNA from 1 species